AUUGAACGCUGGCGGCAGGCCUAACACAUGCAAGUCGAGCGGAUGACGGGAGCUUGCUCCUUGAUUCAGCGGCGGACGGGUGAGUAAUGCCUAGGAAUCUGCCUGGUAGUGGGGGACAACGUUUCGAAAGGAACGCUAAUACCGCAUACGUCCUACGGGAGAAAGCAGGGGACCUUAGGGCCUUGCGCUAUCAGAUGAGCCUAGGUCGGAUUAGCUAGUUGGUGGGGUAAUGGCUCACCAAGGCGACGAUCCGUAACUGGUCUGAGAGGAUGAUCAGUCACACUGGAACUGAGACACGGUCCAGACUCCUACGGGAGGCAGCAGUGGGGAAUAUUGGACAAUGGGCGAAAGCCUGAUCCAGCCAUGCCGCGUGUGUGAAGAAGGUCUUCGGAUUGUAAAGCACUUUAAGUUGGGAGGAAGGGCAGUAAGUUAAUACCUUGCUGUUUUGACGUUACCGACAGAAUAAGCACCGGCUAACUCUGUGCCAGCAGCCGCAGUAACAC
rnacentral:rRNA from 1 species